CAACAAGCAUUGGAAUAGUAGUUUUAUAAUGGUCUUAGAGAGUCGAUGGCAGCUGAAAAAUCGACACCCACUGAUAAAAUGAACCUACCCAAUGGCAAUGACCGCAAAACGGUCGGUGGAAAGGCCUUAUCCUUUACGAGUUGGAUUAUCCCGAUAGAUAAUCAACAAAGGUGGUACCGCGAAAUCCAAGCAUUUCGUCCUUUUU
rfam:Enterococcus sp. 2G9_DIV0600 scaffold00001, whole genome shotgun sequence.